GGCGAUGACGGGUAGCUGGUCUGAGAGGAUGGUCAGCCACAAGGGCACUGAGACACGGGCCCUACACCUACGGGUGGCAGCAACCGGGAAUCUUGCGCAAUGGGCGAAAGCCUGACGCAGCGACGCCGCGUGAGGGAUGAAGGCCUUCGGGUCGUAAACCUCUUUUUUCCGACUUUCAGGGUCGGAAGAAUAAGCACCUGCAAACUACGUGCCAGCAGCAGCGGUAAAACGUAGGGUGCAAGCGUUAUCCGGAUUUACUGGGCGUAAAGGGUUUCGUAGGCGGUUUGGUAAGUAUCAAGUCAAAGCCCCUGGCUCAACUAGGGAAAGGCUUAAUAAACUGCCAGACUGGAGGUUGUUCGGGGGUGCUGGAAUUCCUGGUGGAGGGGUGAAAUCCAUUGAUAUCAGGAAGAACACCGAGGGCGAAGGCAGGCAUCUAGGACACACCUGACGCUAAGGAACGAAAGCUAGGGGAGCGAAAGGGAUUAGAGACCCCUGUAGUCCUAGCCGUAAACGAUGUCCGCUAGUUGCUCGGUCCGAUUUAUUCGGACUGGGUGACGAAGGUAACCCAUUAAGCGGACCGCCUGGGGAGUACGGCCGCAAGGCUAAAACUCAAAGGAAUUGACGGGGAGGCGCACAACCAGUGGAGCAUGUGGUUUAAUUCGAGACGGAGCGAAGAACCUUACCUGGACUUGACAUACUAGCUGCAAGUCUGCCGAGAGGUGGACUGCCUUCGAGGGUGCUAGAACAGCUGUUGCAUGGCUGUCGUCAGCUCGUGCCGUGGGGUGUAGGCUUAAGUGCUUUAACGAGCGCAACCCUUAUCCUAUGUUACAUUUUCAUAGGAGACUGCCUCGCCAACCGGCGGGGAGGAAGGAGAGGAUGACGUCAAGUCAGCAUGACGCUUAUGUCCAGGGCGGCACACAUCCUACAAUGGGCGCAACAACGGGUUGCCAAGCCGUAAGGCGGAGCUAAUCCCAAAAAUGCGUCCUCAGUUCGGAUUGUGGGCUGCAAUUCGCCCAUAUGAAGUAGGAAUUGGUAGUAAUCGUGGGUCAGCAGACCGCGGUGAAUACGUUCUCGCCUCUUGUACACACCGCCCGUCAAGCCAGCAAAGUCGGCAGUACCCGAAGAUCACGUUUAGUGGGCAAAGGUAAGGUCGACGAUGAGGACU
rnacentral:rRNA from 1 species